CCCCCAAAAUCCUCCUUUGUCAUUGGCUGAAAAUGAUAUUUAAGAUGAGAAUUUCUGCUAUUGUGUUGAGAAACGCAGUGUCCCUGCUUUCUCCCAUGUAUACAUGUUAUUAAACUUGGUAUUAUUUUCUCCUGCUAACCUGUCUUGUUGAUUAUUUGGCCAGCCAGAAGAACCUUAAGGGAAAGGACAGAGGGAGAUUCUCCCUCUUCCUCCGACAGUUUUGGCGAGCCAGCCAGGAGAAGCACUGGCUGGUAAGUUGUCUUCUCUGGCUGGAAGACCUGCCUUCUCCCUGGACUACUGCAGAUGAUGAGAUACGGGAACGCCUGACGAAAGCCGGCAAAAGGACACAAUUAAAAACACUGGUUCUAUUACCAAGGUUGUGACUAGAACAUCAUAUUUACAAUAUAACCAUACAGCUUUUGAAGAAUGAAGAUUAGACUUUAUGGAAUAAAGCCACGUAAAAAUAUUGGCCUGGUACCUUAUGUUCCAAGCAACACUUACCAGGAUAAGUAAAGAAUGUCACUUAUCUGGCAAGAGACCGGGUGUACAUCAAGGUCUUUAGAAGAAAACAUGCACUGUCACCUCGCUGGGAAAGAUCUUAUGAAGUCUUACUGAUGACCUGCACUGCCAUCAAAAUAAAAGAAAAAUCUUCCUGGAUCCACGCGAGCCACGCCAAAAUAGACCCAGAUCAUCGCUCUCAAGACAACUGGGAGAUAAUCCCCACAGGUGACCUUAAACUAAGGAUUUCG